AUAAGGUUGUCCAUAGCAAACCAAUAACUGCAAUAUGGUCUACAGCAUUCUAUCUCGCCACUCUGCUGUCUGAUCUCCUUGCCUGAGAUCAUGGAGAAUCUCUGUCAAUCAAAUGCUUUCCCCAUAGGGAUGCUAGUGUGUACGAGCAGCAAAACGCUGUGCUACAAUAAUCAGAUGGUCUCUGGCAAUCUGAUGUGAAAUAGUGGUUUGAGGGUUGGAUUCCAUGUCUGUGUUGAUGGAGGAUCACAUUCAUCUAUGUAGCUAUAAAAAUAUUAAUGACAACAGUUGUAAUAAACACAGGAAAGGAACCUGAUUCUUCAUUUUGAUAUUUCAGCUGUUUAGUAGAUGGUCCCCUGAUUGAGG